rnacentral:rRNA from 1 species
GCGGGACACGUGGUAUCCUGUCUGAAUAUGGGGGGACCAUCCUCCAAGGCUAAAUACUCCUGACUGACCGAUAGUGAACCAGUACCGUGAGGGAAAGGCGAAAAGAACCCCGGCGAGGGGAGUGAAAAAGAACCUGAAACCGUGUACGUACAAGCAGUGGGAGCCUCUUAAUGGGGUGACUGCGUACCUUUUGUAUAAUGGGUCAGCGACUUAUAUUCUGUAGCAAGGUUAACCGAAUAGGGGAGCCGAAGGGAAACCGAGUCUUAACUGGGCGUUAAGUUGCAGGGUAUAGACCCGAAACCCGGUGAUCUAGCCAUGGGCAGGUUGAAGGUUGGGUAACACUAACUGGAGGACCGAACCGACUAAUGUUGAAAAAUUAGCGGAUGACUUGUGGCUGGGGGUGAAAGGCCAAUCAAACCGGGAGAUAGCUGGUUCUCCCCGAAAGCUAUUUAGGUAGCGCCUCGUGAAUUCAUCUCCGGGGGUAGAGCACUGUUUCGGCAAGGGGGUCAUCCCGACUUACCAACCCGAUGCAAACUGCGAAUACCGGAGAAUGUUAUCACGGGAGACACACGGCGGGUGCUAACGUCCGUCGUGAAGAGGGAAACAACCCAGACCGCCAGCUAAGGUCCCAAAGUCAUGGUUAAGUGGGAAACGAUGUGGGAAGGCCCAGACAGCCAGGAUGUUGGCUUAGAAGCAGCCAUCAUUUAAAGAAAGCGUAAUAGCUCACUGGUCGAGUCGGCCUGCGCGGAAGAUGUAACGGGGCUAAACCAUGCACCGAAGCUGCGGCAGCGACACUAUGUGUUGUUGGGUAGGGGAGCGUUCUGUAAGCCUGUGAAGGUGGCCUGUGAGGGUUGCUGGAGGUAUCAGAAGUGCGAAUGCUG